UGGGGUAAUCUACCCUUGGGUGGGGGAAUAAUUCCCAAAGGGGAGCUAAUGCCGACUAUACGUAGCGGUCUCGAUAGGGGACUUCUAGAAAGCCGUACCGUGGGUGCGGCGCCCAAGGAUGAGCUCAUGCCCUAUCAGCUUGUUGGCGGGGUAAUGGCCCACCAAGGCUACGACGGGUAGCUGGUCUGAGAGGACGACCAGCCACACUGGCACUGCGACACGGGCCAG
rnacentral:rRNA from 1 species